rnacentral:other from 1 species
AGCUCCCUUUCAUAUGCGUGAUGCCCGAGGAACGUUUUGAGCCAACACCAGACCUAGGGGAGCCGGGUCAUGUUCUGGCGGAUGCGAUAGCCCCUGAUUGGCAAGGCUGAAACCAGGCGUAGGCUCCCACCUGUUUCAUACAGGUUCAAAAGCACCUGGGCACACGGUAUGAAGGGGGGCGA